rnacentral:rRNA from 1 species
CCUACGGGUGGCUGCAGUGGGGAAUAUUGGACAAUGGGGGGAACCCUGAUCCAGCCAUGCCGCGUGUGUGAAGAAGGCCCUCGGGUUGUAAAGCACUUUCAGUGAGGAAGAACGCCUGGUGGUUAAUACCCAUCAGGAAAGACAUCACUCACAGAAGAAGCACCGGCUAACUCCGUGCCAGCAGCCGCGGUAAUACGGAGGGUGCGAGCGUUAAUCGGAAUUACUGGGCGUAAAGCGCGCGUAGGUGGCUUGAUAAGCCUGUUGUGAAAGCCCCGGGCUCAACCUGGGAACGGCAUCCGGAACUGUCAAGCUAGAGUGCAGGAGAGGAAGGUAGAAUUCCCGGUGUAGCGGUGAAAUGCGUAGAGAUCGGGAGGAAUACCAGUGGCGAAGGCGGCCUUCUGGACUGACACUGACACUGAGGUGCGAAAGCGUGGGUAGCAAACAGGAUUAGAUACCCUAGUAGUC